GUUGGAUAGUCAACUAGGACUGCAUGCACCGGAUCCCAUCAGAACUCCGCAGUUAAGCGUGCUUGGGCGAGAGUAGUACUAGGAUGGGUGACCUCCCGGGAAGUUCUCGUGUUUCACCCC
rnacentral:rRNA from 2 species